AUACUCUGUGACUGAGUGAUUCAAAAAAAAAAAAAAAAAAAAAAAAAACUGUUCUUAUCAGUUUAAUAUCUGAUACGUCCCCUAUCUGGGGACCAUAUAUUAAAUGGAUUUUUGGGACAGGGAGAUGGAAGAGCUUGCUCUGUCCACUCCACACAUUGACCUGGUAUUGCAGUACCUCCAGGACCGGUGCACCUCUC
rnacentral:snRNA from 1 species